rnacentral:rRNA from 1 species
CCUACGGGGGGCUGCAGUGGGGAAUAUUGGACAAUGGGGGGAACCCUGAUCCAGCCAUGCCGCGUGUGUGAAGAAGGCCCUCGGGUUGUAAAGCACUUUCAGUGAGGAAGAACGCCUGGUGGUUAAUACCCAUCAGGAAAGACAUCACUCACAGAAGAAGCACCGGCUAACUCCGUGCCAGCAGCCGCGGUAAUACGGAGGGUGCGAGCGUUAAUCGGAAUUACUGGGCGUAAAGCGCGCGUAGGUGGCUUGAUAAGCCGGUUGUGAAAGCCCCGGGCUCAACCUGGGAACGGCAUCCGGAACUGUCAAGCUAGAGUGCAGGAGAAGAAGGUAGAAUUCCCGGUGUAGCGGUGAAAUGCGUAGAGAUCGGGAGGAAUACCAGUGGCGAAGGCGGCCUUCUGGACUGACACUGACACUGAGGUGCGAAAGCGUGGGUAGCAAACAGGAUUAGAUACCCCUGUAGUC